rnacentral:lncRNA from 1 species
AGGUUUCAAACCUGUUACUAGUUUGUAUCAUGAGGUAUGAUUUAGAGAGAAAAAAAUGUAUUUCCCUAUAUACAACAAUUACCAGGCUACACUUUAAUGAAUAUGUAAUUCCAUUUUGACCAAAAAAUAAGGUUUGGUUGAUGAACUAAAAUUGAUGAGAAAUUUAAAAAGAAGUAACAUGCUAUUUUAGAGCUGCCUAUGUUCACAGAAAAAUAAUUCUGAACAUAGGCAUUUAUCCUAGAAUUUAGGAAAGCAGGCAUCAAAAUAGAAAAUUGUAGAGAUAAUCCCAUGACUAAAUUGUUUUAAAGUAAAAAUAAGCUUACUUUUACAAUUCUGACAAAAUAAUCACAGAUUUUUCAGAGUUAUAUAUAAAAAAAUAUAUAGCAUAAAAAGAACAUUCUUUUUCCCUUUUUAAAGCUAUUGAAUGUGGAAUAUUAAGGAGUAUAUACCCAAAGUGGAAGUAUGAAAACGUGGUGAUGAGCCAACAUAAAAAAGUGCUGUAAGAAUAUUGUUAGCAGGGUUAAAGCUUGAGUAUGGGCUGAAAAACUGCCAAGGACAACAGAAUGCUAUUUUAAGCUUUGUUUAUAAAGAAGAACAAAGGGAUAGGUACAUUGAUUGGGGCACACAGCGAAAUGUUAACAUAUGUCACAGAAAAAAACAGAACAAUUCAACUCCUAUUUUUAUUCUAUGGUCUCUAUCAAGAAGAAUGAUCUUCUAAGGACCCGAGUUUGAUCUCCGGACCAAAAAAAAAAAAAAAGAAGAAUGAUCUUCAAACCGGAGAGGGCAGAGCAAACAAAGUUAAGAGGGAACUGAAGCCCAAGAUAAGUCAAGACAGACUAAGACUUCACAAAUGAACUUGUGCCCACUCUGUAUGAGUCAGAUGGUCCCUGGAAAUAUGAGCUGGGUCAAAUCUAAAACUUCCCUUUCGAUGGCUCAUAGUUUAACAGGGGAAACAGACCUCCAGAAGGUGAGCAGUCUUCUCCAUCACCCAUUUCUGCCAUGAUGCACCAUGCUGCCACAGGCCCAAAGUGGCAAUGAGGCCAAGUGAAUAUGGACUGAAACUUCUGAAACCAUGAAGCAAAAUAAGCCUUUUCUCUUAUAAAUUGAUUACCUUGGGUAUUUUGUCACAGUAAUGGAAAUCUGAUUAAAACAACUAGUUUCUAAAGUUGCCAGGAUGUUAAAGAAGAAAUUUUAUUUAGAGAGAAUGACGUGC